GGCACAGCCGAGCCCCUCAGCGAAGAUGGUGGCACCUCAGUGAUGAUGUGUUUAAGGAAGGGUAAAACCACCACGCAGGCAAAGGAGUGAGGGAGUCAGAGGAGAACCAGGGUUUGAGGAGGAGGGAAAGGGAUCCUGUGGGAAGAAGCGGGAGCAGAAUUCAGGUCCAAGCUGUUCAACCCCACAGGCUGGAUUACAGUUGCCUCACAGGUUUGAGCUCUCUCUGGACAAAGCUUAGUGUGUGGACACACCAAGUCACUUCAAGCGGAGUUGUACAUGUGGUUCUGGUGGAUCCUCUAAGAUUAAGGCAUCAAGCUAGGUGAACACAAACUGUGGACUAGGUCCAGCAUAACAGCCUGUUACUAGGCUCCUUCGUGGUACACGUCAGCUGCCAUAGUCACCUGCAGCCAUUUGCAGUUCAUCCUUCUGAUUUCUCUGUUCUAUUUUGUUAAAUGUAUGGCAAGAGAGAAGACUGUAAUGAAUGGUUAGACAGUAAGUUUCUCCUGUGUUACAGGAAUCUCUGCAAUUACGCAAUACAAACCCUCUGCUCUGCAGUACUUGAGGUGGAUGGUUGCUGAGCUGAAAUGGUAUUAAAUUUAAGAGAAAGCCAGAUAGCACCAGAUGAAAGUAAAAAGGCAUUUUGAAAGAUGUAAUAAAAUCCUCAGCCUUGGACAGUUAUGGAAAGAGAGACAGCACAUCACUCUCUAUUCAGGGAUCAUCUGACUACCAACAGGAAUCCAAGCCAUCAACAUAUUAUUUUACUCCUCAUGUUAACACAGAGUGAGGAUUUCAUCUACAAAAGAUGCCUAAAACAUAAGGAGAGUGAAGGACAAGUAGAGAGCAAGCAUUCAGUCUUACUGACCUCUGGCUCACUGAAAACCAGAACAUUUUCCCAAAUGCCACAUAAUUAUUAAUUCAUAGGAAGUUUCACAAGCUUGUGAUCUGAUCCAUAGACAACAAAAAUUGUUGUUUUGCAAAGAUUUUUCCAUUGAUUUUGGCCCUGGACCAUGCACUGAAGAUCUGGCAUCUGGAAUAGAUCUCCUUGCUUGAGAAAAGAUUUAAAGUGCACAGCUGAAGUUUCUGAUGUGAAGCAAGGAAAAGAAAUAUUGUUCUCCCAGUUAGUGCUGCCUAAGCUAUGUCCUGAGGAAAUGAGUAGCACCAUCUUGCAAGUCACACAGUAACAGAGAAACAGCAGCAGCGCACUUCUGUGCACACAGCCAACAUCCCUCCGAGUCCAGGACACAAUGGAAAAUUCUGAACAGAGCCAGGAAAAUGGAAACUGGAAAAUUUAUCUCAGAACCUGGUAUAUAUGAAAAUCCUGCUGCUUAUUCUCAAAAAUGAUGUAAACAUCUUU